rnacentral:rRNA from 1 species
CGCACCUCAGUGUCAGUAUCAGUCCAGGUGGUCGCCUUCGCCACUGGUGUUCCUUCCUAUAUCUACGCAUUUCACCGCUACACAGGAAAUUCCACCACCCUCUACCAUACUCUAGCUUGUCAGUUUUGAAUGCAGUUCCCAGGUUGAGCCCGGGGCUUUCACAUCCAACUUAACAAACCACCUACGCGCGCUUUACGCCCAGUAAUUCCGAUUAACGCUUGCACCCUCUGUAUUACCGCGGCUGCUGGCACAGAGUUAGCCGGUGCUUAUUCUGUCGGUAACGUCAAAACAGCAACGUAUUAAGUUACUGCCCUUCCUCCCAACUUAAAGUGCUUUACAAUCCGAAGACCUUCUUCACACACGCGGCAUGGCUGGAUCAGGCUUUCGCCCAUUGUCCAAUAUUCCCCACUGCUGCCUCCCGUAGGAGUCUGGACCGUGUCUCAGUUCCAGUGUGACUGAUCAUCCUCUCAGACCAGUUACGGAUCGUCGCCUUGGUGAGCCAUUACCUCACCAACUAGCUAAUCCGACCUAGGCUCAUCUGAUAGCGCAAGGCCCGAAGGUCCCCUGCUUUCUCCCGUAGGACGUAUGCGGUAUUAGCGUCCCUUUCGAGACGUUGUCCCCCACUACCAGGCAGAUUCCUAGGCAUUACUCACCCGUCCGCCGCUGAAUCAGAGAGCAAGCUCUCUUCAUCCGCUCGACUUGCAUGUGUUAGGCCUGCCGCCAGCGUUCAAU